GGGUGAGGGAGUUAUUUGGUGUCUACUUUCCUAUCAAUUCUGCCCCUCUGUUUCUCUAGCAACCUGACCGCGUAGAAUGAGUGGAUUUGCAGCAAGACAGUUAAAAUAGCAAAGGAUGUAGCAAUCUAACAGAGGAAAGAGAGCUGUGUAAAAAUAUUUUGCUGUCAUAUACGUAGUUUCACUCCCCAGUAUGUACAUAUACCUUGUAGAAUUGAUGAUUUAUGUGAUCAAAAAAGAGAGCUACUUCUGAUAAAUCAGGUUACAGCUUUUCCAGCCUGUGCAUUUACCUAAGAAAAGGGCAUAAAGUAAAACAUAUGCUACUUUAUAUACAGGGAAGACUUCUGGAAAGUUAGCAACAAAGCCAGCUUUAUUACUGUUGAAUAGCUUUCUUCCCAGAGGGCGGGGGGAUUAAUGGAGCCCUCCACAGAGGAGAGGUGAUGGGCAUCUGGUAACCAUCUCCAGACAUAAGCCUACUCACCAUCAUCUUCAUCUUUCAGACCAUGAGCUAGCAGGAUGAGGCCUUGCAGUUUGUUCAUGGAUGUCUCUCAGAACAAGACAGGGACAUUUAACCUACAUGAGAGGACCUGGCAGUUUUCUGGAGCACUGGAGGAUUCCACAGGAGCUGCCCCCAGAUGCCUUCUGCAUUGCCUGGACCUGGUGCUUCCAGCUGUCAGCUCUGGAGCUGAUAUAGCAGCCCUGUGUUUGAGCAGCUGCAGCCCCGGGAAAGUUGUCUUACAGAGUGAAAGGACACCCAGGCUUCUGGCAGAACUGCCAGGUGGCCUCACAGGAGCUACUGUGGGAAUGUUUGGUAACAGAAUGAGGACACAAGCAAUAGCAGAAAAGGAAAGAUCACGUCAUCUUUGGCAUUCUUGGUCCUUGCUUCUAUUCCAGGGAGACCAAAGUUUAGGACACAAUCACAGGAUGAGUUCAGAGUGUUCAUUUCAUCAAGCCAUGAUAAUUGACAGGGUUGAUAAACUAAUACCUACGUGGACAUAGGACAUCAGUUCUGGGAACAGCUGUUUGUGACUCCUGUUUUCCUGGAAGAUCCUGGCACCACUCUGUGGACAUCUGUUCCUCACUGCCUAUCCUCAAAAUGACAACUUGAAAUGUCUUUGUGGAGCUGGAAGUUCCUGUCAGGUAUGGCUUCACACAAAGUGUUUCUGUGAUGCUGUUUUGAUACAGCUGUAUCCAGCUUGGUGGACGUAAGUGGUAUAAGAGAUCU
rnacentral:lncRNA from 1 species